GUGUUCACUUCAGCAGCACAUAUACUAAAAUAGGAACAAUACAGAGAAGAUUAGCAUAGAGGUUAUAUGUCUGCUCAGAAGGACAUACACAAAUUU
rnacentral:snRNA from 1 species